CGAAGCUUUUAAAAACUCUCUAUUAGCUCAAUCGUCUAGCGACGCAGACUAUAGUGUGACAAUCACGUGCUAAUAUUUUGUUUUCCAAGUAGACACCGGCUUCCGUAGAAAGUUAUUCCAUAUAAGCAUAACCGCCAUAUGAAAAUCACAUGGCUGAUAUUAGUUCUCUUCGGUCCAUUCACUGAGUUCAAACAGUCUCUUGGCUGUGAGGUAUUCUAACUCUAUCAAGUAUACGCUGCAGCACCAACUGAAGGAAGCACCGCAUUCUGUUAAGAUAGAUCUAUGAUCACUGAUCACUGAUCGCUUUCGACUAAACAUUUCCACACCAGAAUAUGAGUUAUGUUGCAAGCUGUCUGUCAUUUGCUUGUGUAUAAAGUACUGUUGGAAGUUUUGCUGUUUGCCAGUCAAACAAAUGGUAUGUAAUUCGUAUAUAAGCCCGUUGGCGUUGCUGAAUGAUUUCUAUAUAUAUUAUAUAUAUAAUAUAUAUAUAUAUAUUAUAUAUAUAUUAUAUAUUAUAUAUUAUAUUAUAAGUAAAAUAUCGUAUAAUAUUUAUUCAAAUUAUGUGGUACGAGAAACACAAAUGGUGACUGAAUGGUGAAUAAAUUCGCCUUUCAGUCUCGGCUGCAUUAUAUACCUGAGUAAAUCGUCAUUUUUAUGCGUUAGCUGAAACUCCGAAUUGACUUAUUGUUUGGAUGAGCCGUGUAUAGGAGUCGUGGGGAUAAGCUUAAUUUCAAUCUUCCAAAAAAAAGGAAAUUACUCUGAUGCAUGGGAGCAAUUUUUGUGGGUGGGGAGGGAGGGAGGGAGGGAGGGGGUGGUCGUAAGCCUUCAUUGAUUGUGCUACUAAAUCGAAGGAAAGUUGCUCUACUAAAAAAUGGUGAAAGGGUGCUCAAAAGGUUCCAAAAAUUGGAAAAGGUGCUCCCAGAUUUAUGAUUUUUGCCAAUGGUAGCCAUUUUAUGUCGAAUAAGCAUGUUAAAUAUUCAAUUAAAGCAAAAUAUAGCAUAAGCUUUCUUUGGUUGACAUGAAUUUUUCGCUUUAUACGAGAAAUCGAAGAGCUUUUUAACGCCCGUAUUCUAAAAGAUCACUCACACUCAAAGAGUGGAAGUUCAAUCUGAGCUUCUCUCGAGUGUCAUUGCUGUUUUUGAAUAGCCGGAGGGUUAGUGUCGUACCUUACUAUGUGACUACUCACCCUCCAGCUAUUCCAAAACAGCAUUCGCACUCAAGAGUCAAGGGAAGCUCAGAUUGAACCUCCACUCAUUGAGUGUGAGUGAGCUUUUAGAAUACGGGCGUAAGUCUACAUGGGCGUACCGGAAGGAAAAAAUUAGGGGGGCGGAAAGAAAAUUGCCCGACUGUUCGGGAUUGUGCCCGACUAGUACCAAAAUAAUUUUUCCGGAAAAAUUAUUUUGGCGACCUCCCCCCCCCGUCGUGUACCAUUUUAGGGGGCAAAAAAAUUUUCCGGACAACCAUUAUUUUUCGGAACAUAACACAAAUUUUCGAAAAAUCACAAAAUUUGCCAAAAAAUUGACUUAAUUUUAAACAAAAUUUACAGAAUUUGUCCCAUUUUUUUUUAUUGCAAACCAAAAUUGCCCGACUGUUGAUCGAAUAUUGCCCGACUGCCCAAAAAACUGGGGGGGCUACCGCCCCCCCCCCCCGCCCCCCCGCCCGGUACGCCUAUGUAAGUCUAAGAUAGUGUUGUUUUAGUGGUGUUUUCAAUUUAGUGUUUUCAAUUUAGUUUUAGUUCAGUAUUAGUUUAAUGCAGUAAUUUAUGUUCAGUUUAGUUCUAGUUUGAAAAAGGAAUUUCUUUUUAGUUUUAGUUUAGUUCUAGUUUGAACAAGCCUUGUUACAAGCCAUCAAGGUCAAGGAUUUUUUUUUCGUUUUAGUUUAGUUCUAGUUUGAAACUGAAAUUUUAUUUUAGUUUUUGUUUAGUUCAAUUUUGAAACAGGAAUUUCAUUUUAGUUCUGGUUUAGUCCUAGCUAAGCAAACAUUUAGUUUUAGUUUUCAGUGGUUCAAAUAUGUACGAAAAUGUUUGUGCAAAGGCCACUACUAGGCCAGGAAAGACCGGCCAAAUAUUAUAUAUUCAAAAUCAGGCAUUGCAUGUUAUUUCGAAUUCAAAAUUGCUUGAUUUACCAGACAACUUUAUAAAUAAACCAGGGUCGAGGUUUCGAAAAAUUGUUUCGGUUUUCCAGGAACAGGAAGUAUAUAAAAUCAUAGGCGGAAACUUCGCUACAGUUCACGAUCGUGUACAAAGUCCCCUCGAAGGCCAAAUUUUAGGGACCGGUCAUUAUUUAUGGAAAGGGGGGAGGGGAAAAAUAGGGGGGGGGGGGNNNNNNNNNNNNNNNNNNNNGGGGGCUAUUAAAUUUUUUCAAGAAAAUGACGGGGGGGGGGGUUGUAUUUAAAUUUGAAGGAAUUUGCUUAAAUUAAUAACCUGGUAUCCAUUUCGUUGUAAAUGUUGCAACUAAAUCAUGGUCACAGGUAGUCUCCUACGCAGCCUGUUCGUGGGUCCGAGGUUUUCUCCCCCUCGGACCGGCGAACAGGCUGCGUAGGAGACUAGGUGGGUCACUGAUGUGAAAUAGUCUGGAUUUAUCUUGUCUUGUGUGUGCUGUAUGCAAAUCAGUCUUUAUGGGUUGCAGACUAGUUAAAUUGACAAUGUAUUAUUUAUAUUACAUCAGCUCUUGAUGUGGUUAAAUACAUUUAAAUUAAGUAAGGUUAACAAUGUAGGAUGCGGAUGUAUUAUGCAGGCCACAUCCGCUGAGGGGAGUCUGUGACGUCAUAUCAAUCAAAGGGGGUUGUUAGAUGCCUUGUGAUCAGCUCAUCAGCGCUUUGGUCUGGGUAUUCAUUCUGCCAUUGUAUGCUUUGCCUAGCUGCAGCAAGUUUAGCGCUUCGAUACCUUUUCCCCACGCACCCAACCAUGUUCAUUCUAAAGGAUUUUAUCUGGUAGUACAUGUCAUUUUAUUUUAUAUAAUUUUUAAUCUCACAUAAAAUAGGAUGUAUAGACCACUAUACAUUGUAUUUUGUAGGUAUGCCUUGGCAGAAUUGUCAUUGCUAUCUCCUUUUGCUGCUAAUAUUACUGAUUGUUACUCUCAUUGUUGCUGCGCAGCUGCUAUGGCAAUACUUCGUACCAUCAAGUCUAGUUGCAGCCUUAAACAUGGUUACAAUCGCCCAGACCAAAUGGAAACCUGAUUUCAGUGUUCUAUAUAAAAAUACUCCUCUUUUAAUUAUCAUUUUCUGCUAAUAUUAUAAUAUAUAUUUUUGGUCGACAUUAAUAUCUUGCCAGUUCCAUAUUCUUAUUUAAUAAUUAACACUAUAACGCCUGGGUAUCCCUAUUUGACGAGUAAAAAUGAAAAUGGGGGGGGGGUCAAAGAAAAAUAUUCUAAUAUGCAGGGGGGUAAUCAUUAAAUUUCUGCUCUUUUAGGGGGGCUUUCAAUUUUAAAAAUUUAGAAAAGAAAAAAUUCCCCUCCCCCCCUUCCAUAAAUAAUGACCAGUCCCUUAUAUUUCAAAAAAUAGAUAAAAAACUCAAUACAAUCUGUUAACUAAUUAAAUUCUGUCGUUUAGUUUUAGCCGUUGAUGGUAAUUUUGCUUUUAGUUCAAGUUUAGUUCCAGUACUUGCUGCUGAUUUUGCUUUAGUUCUAGUAUAGUUCUAGUAUUUAUCUUCGUUAAAUCGCUUUAGUUCUGGUUUAGUUUUAGUAUUUAUCUCUUUAAUUUAUUUAGAUUUUAGUUCUAGUUAGUUUUAUAGUUGACUAAAUUAUUUUCGCACGACUAAAAUAGGGUUUUAGUUCUAGUUCUACUUGACUAAAACAACACUACACUACGACAAGGUCGGUUCUACCAUGCCCAUGGAUAAUAAAAUAAAUUUAUUUUAUUAUCCAUGGCAUACCUAAUUUUAGUGUGCGCAGUGAUAACCAAUUUGUGCAGUGAUAAAAGUAAAGUGUGCAGUGAUAAAAUGUAAAAUGUCCAAUGAUAAAAUUUACUGUGACAAAUUGUUAAGUAAGAAGAAAAUGAUGCAAUGAGCAGAAGAACUGAACUAAAAAUUCGUCUUGUCACUUGACAGUAUUAAUCAAGACAUUUUGAAAUUUGAGAAAAUUUGAAUGAAAAUGAAUGUGUGUAUGUUGAUUUUGGGAUCAUUAUUAUAAGGGUGUGUUCAGAAAUUUUGAGGGCGCCCUUCUGCUCGGCUAAACUUUGCACAAAAAUGUUCAAUUGAAAGAGCCUCUGGCAACCAGGGUAGUAUGAUCCAUGGUUCUACAAAACAAAAAAAAUUAUUAAGAUGGCUCGAUAUAUUAAUACACAAAACCCGUUUACAAGAAUCGCGAAAACAGAACGUUGUGUUUUAUAUAUGAACAGACCCGCGGACUUGACUGUCCAGUUGGACUGGGCUGGACUGGACUGAUUUUUACAUUUUCUCUAUUCUUGACUUGCACGUCAGCCAUGUCAGAUUGUCAGGUGGCAUGGCACAAAAGAAUAUUUUAUCACAGAAUAGAUAUACCAUGUCAUGUCUAUUUUGUGAUUUUAUCAAUGAACAUUGUCUGGUGUGUACCAGGAGAUUGGUUGCAAGUCAAGAAUAUAACGUUUUGCAUGCACCUGAAUUAGUUUUGAUUUUCGGAAAUUGAAAUACUUCACCUUCGCCGAUGAACUCACUUUAUAACUGGAGUGAAAUCCUUAAAGUGAAAGAAAGCUUAGUAAGUAGAAUAGAAUACAAUAGCGAGCGUAAGCAUGUAGGACGGCAACACGACGACGACGGCCAAAACAAAUUCCUUCAAAUAAAUUAUAGUAAAGAAAACUUGUCGUAUAUUAUAAUUCGUAUGAAUUUAAUACAGUAUAAGAAGCUGAAAACAUUGGCUUUAUGUUUGGGAUAGUUCUACUGACCGAAUUUUAAGUUGCACUGUCUUGCUACGGCUUGAAAUGCAGGCGUUGUAUAAAAGACGUGAAAAUCUGUGAUUUGUCGUUGUAAACAGAACGACGACCACGUCUGAAACUCCCCUGGGACUUUAAUGAUUUAUUUCUUUUCAUUGACUCAUUGUAUUGGUUAAUGCCGUCGUCGUCGUGUUGCCGUCCUACAUGCUUAAGCUCCCUAUUACCAAACAAAAACUACUUAUCUGUCGUUGCUAUGGGUAGCCUGCUCGCAUGCGUAUUUAAUUUCGAUAUUUCAGUCUGCAUAGCUAUAGGCGUAGGAAUAUCGAUAAUUGGGGAGCUCAUAUUCAUAUACUCGUGUUCACAGACCGUAAAAACAAUUAAUUUCAAAAGAAUAAUAAGCGAAUAAUGCAGAACACCAAUAUAUGGAUAUGAGCUCCCCAAUUAUCAAUCUUCCUACGCCUAUGGCUAUGCAGACUGAAAUAUCUGUAUGCGAGCAGGCUGCCCAUAGCAACGAUAGAUAAGUAGUUUUUGUUUGGUAUUGUAUUCUAUUCUACUUACUAGGCUUUCUUUCGCUUUAAGAGAUUUCACUCCAGUUAUAAAGUUAGGUCAUCGGCGAAGGUAAAGUAUUUCAAUUUCCGAAAAUCAAAAGUAACUCAGGUGCAAAACGUUAUAUUCUUGACUUGCAACCAAUCUCCUGGUACACACCAGACAAUGUUCAUUGAUAAAAUCACAAAAUAGACAUGGCAUGGUAUAUCUAUUCUGUGAUACAGUAUUCUUUUGUGCCAUGCCACCUGACAUGGCUGACGUGCAAGUCAAGAAUAGACAGUGGCGUAGGAAGUAUCAAAAGAUUGGGGGGGGGGCACCGGCUUCCAGGGGCACUUUUGGAUAUUGAAAAGGCACCUAAAAAAUUUUUCCCGGAAAUGUUGGCAAGGAGGGGGGGGGAGAUUUUCCCGUCAUACUAUACCGAAAUUGCACGUUUUUGACCUAAUUUUUUUUUUAAAUAUCGAAAUUUCCAAACAAAAAUGGAAUCUUUGAUGUUAAUUUAGUAUUUACAGCGACAUUAGCUUGUAAAAAAGGACAAUUUUUAUCACAGACUAAAGGGCACUUUUAGUCCUUUGCCCUUGAGAAUUGAGAAAAUGUAAAAAUCAGUCCAGUCCAACUGUCCAGUCCAGUCCAACUGUCCAGUCCAACUGUCCAGUCCAACUGUCCAGUCCAACUGUCCAGUCCAACUGUCCAGUCCAACUGUCCAGUCCAACUGUCCAGUCCAACUGUCCAGUCCAACUGUCCAGUCCAACUGUCCAGUCCACACUGUCCAGUCCAACUGUCCAGUCCAACUGUCCAGUCCAACUGUCCAGUCCAACUGUCCAGUCCAACUGUCCAGUCCAACUGUCCAGUCCAACUGUCCAGUCAAACUGUCCAGUCAAACUGUACAGUCCAUGUUUUGUACUAUGCCCAUUUUUGGGGGUCAAGACCCGCGUGUUUAUCGGCAUGAUUGACUGCAGAUUGAGCGCUCUGCGCAUGCAUCAAAAGACUAGGACUGGCCUUCAAGUUUGGCUUCAAAUUUCCAGUUGGAGGUAGCAUUCCAGUAAUGUAGAACUAAAAAUAGAUGAACAUCCUGAUAUCUACUGCAUAAAACCUAAAAAUACGACGUUUAAAACUGUUAAACUGUUAACAAGACACCUGACGUUUUUGAAAACUGUAUCGACCCACCUUAAACACGACACAAAGAGUUCUUAAUUCGACUUUUCACCUUGAUUAGACUACAACCACAGCAACAACGACGAAAAAGUAAAGACAAAGUAAAAAUGUUAAUUGUUUUCAAUACGAUUUUAAGGUUCUGAUAACGGACAUUCUAUAUAUGUAUCCAGAGCAAGAGGCAAGGACACAGUUUCGUGCGGGUCAAUACAACAACCAUGUUAUUCAAUCCCAGAAGCUAUUCAUAUUAGCCAAUGGAAUGACCAUAUUUACAUUGACAGCACCAGCACAGAAAGUAGUCCGUACGACUGUCACACUGUUUUAUCACCAUGGAUACACG
rnacentral:lncRNA from 1 species